CUCUUCAGGCAGCUGAGGCAGGAGAACCACUAGAACCUGGGAGGUGGAUGUUACAGUGAGCUGAAAUAUCUAAAUGUCCACCAGGAAAUUGAGUUCUACUUAUGAGAUAUAGCUUGAAUUGUCCAUGCCUCUCCAAUUUUAAUGCUACCACCUCAUUAAAUUUUUACUACCUCUUGCUUAGAAUAAUAAAUCUCCUCAUUGGUCUUUCACAUCUACCGUUGAUUCACUCUAUUCAUUCUUCACACAUCACUUAGAAUAAUUUUUUAAUGGAGAUUGGAUUAAAUCAUGUGCCCCAAUCCACUUCUUAAAACCUGCUAAGGUCUUUUUAAUUGACAUAGGAUACCAGGAAGUGGGAGCAAGAAGGAAAAAAGUGAAGUUGAUUAAU
rnacentral:lncRNA from 1 species